rnacentral:rRNA from 1 species
UUGUCAGCAGCCGCGGUAAAACGUAGGUCCCGAGCAGGGGGAGGAUUCACUGGGUGUAAAGGGCGCGUAGGUGGUUGUCUGUGUCUCAUGUGAAAACUCAGGGCUCAACUCUGAGAUUGCGUGGGAAACUAGGCAGCUAGAGGACGGUAGAGGGGAGUGGAAUUCCCGGUGUAGCGGUAAAAUGCGUAGAUACCGGGAGGAACACCGGUGGCGAAGGCGGCUCUCUGGGCCGAUCCUGACGCUGAGGCGCGAAAGCUAGGGUAGCGAACCGGAUUAGAUACCCGGGUAGUCCUAGCCGUAAACGAUGGGUGCUAGGUGUUGGGGGGUAAAGACCCUUCAGUGCCGAAGCUAACGCGAUAAGCAUCCCACCUGGGGAGUACGGCCGCAAGGUUGAAACUCAAAUGAAUUGACGG